rnacentral:rRNA from 1 species
UACGUAGGGUGCGAGCGUUAAUCGGAAUUACUGGGCGUAAAGCGCACGUAGGUGGCUUUGCAAGUCGAUUGUGAAAUCCCCGGGCUUAACCUGGGAACUGCAGUCGAGACUGCUUUGCUUGAGUAUGGGAGAGGGAGGUGGAAUUUCCGGUGUAGCGGUGAAAUGCGUAGAUAUCGGAAGGAACAUCAGUGGCGAAGGCGACCUCCUGGACCAAUACUGACACUCAAGUGCGAAGGCGUGGGGAGCAAACAGG